UGGGGAAUAUUGCACAAUGGGCGAAAGCCUGAUGCAGCAACGCCGCGUGAGUGAUGAAGGCCUUCGGGUUGUAAAGCUCUGUCUUUUGGGACGAUAAUGACGGUACCAAAGGAGGAAGCCACGGCUAACUACGUGCCAGCAGCCGCGGUAAUACGUAGGUGGCAAGCGUUGUCCGGAUUUACUGGGCGUAAAGGAUGCGUAGGCGGAUUUUUAAGUGAGAUGUGAAAUACCCGGGCUUAACUUGGGUGCUGCAUUUCAAACUGGGAAUCUAGAGUGCGGGAGAGGAGAAUGGAAUUCCUAGUGUGGCGGUGAAAUGCGUAGAGAUUAGGAAGAACACCAGUGGCGAAGGCGAUUCUCUGGACCGUAACUGACGCUGAGGCAUGAAAGCGUGGGUAGCAAACAGGAUUAGAUACCCUGGUAGUCCACGCCGUAAACGAUGAGUACUAGGUGUAGGAGGUAUCGACCCCUUCUGUGCCGCAGUUAACACAAUAAGUACUCCGCCUGGGAAGUACGAUCGCAAGAUU
rnacentral:rRNA from 1 species